GGUUUUACCAGAAUAUUGGACUCAUUUUCUUGUUUCUGUGGUUAAGAAAAGGAAGAAGGAAGAAGGAGGAGUUUGAGCAUGGCCAUGGCUGCGAAAAUGGGUUCCUUCAGGUACACUUUUGCAGAGAAGAGGGAGAGGUUGCUUUCUACAAAGGGUUAUUCAGAGAUUGGCUUUCCCAAUAUUUAUGAGGAAGAAUAUGCCCCCAGAAAUUGCUGUAGCUAUCGCUUCUUAUGCGAUAAAAUUGUUGGAUUCUGUGAAAGCGUGCAGGAUGUUGCCAAAAAGGCCUACGAGAUGGGUAGGUCUGAUCCCAGAAAGAUUGUGUUCGCGGUAAAGAUAGGUUUGGCUUUGAUGCUCAUUUCUUUAAUGAUUUUCUUGAAAGAGCCGAUUAAAGAACUCAGUCGGUACUCCGUGUGGGCUGUUCUUACCGUUGUGGUUGUCUUCGAAUUCAGUAUAGGAGCUACUCUUAGCAAAGGCUUUAAUCGUGGGCUUGGGACAUUAUCAGCUGGAGGCCUUGCUCUAGGCAUGGCAGAGUUGGCUCAAUUAGCUGGAAAAUGGGAAGAAGUUUUUAUUAUUCUUAGUAUCUUCUUGAUAGGAUUUUGUGCAUCUUAUGCAAAACUGUACCCAACAAUGAAGCCUUACGAAUAUGGAUUUCGAGUGUUCUUGUUGACAUAUUGUAUGGUCAUGGUGUCUGGAUAUAGGACCAGGGAAUUUAUCCAUACAGCCAUUAUACGGUUUGUGCUUAUUGCACUGGGUGCUGGUGUCUGUUUGGCAAUAAAUAUAUGCAUUUAUCCUAUCUGGGCUGGCGAGGAUUUGCACAACUUGGUGGUAAAAAAUUUCAUGAAUGUGGCAACUUCUUUGGAAGGCUGUGUUAAUGGAUA
rnacentral:misc_RNA from 1 species